CAGCCAGGUCCCCUGAACAAACCUUCCCUGCAUUAACCAUUCCAUGGCCGAAGUUGAAUCGCUUCUUUCUCUGCUGGAAUGUCAGAGGCACACAGAGGACAAGUCUCCAAGGGUGCAGAUAACCUGGCAGCAUCUCUCCAGGGUGCAGAUAACCUGGUCUCAAAGGAGCCGCAGCUGUGGGCAGUUUCACUCGCUGAGGGAUGCCGGGCCCUGCUCGGGGUGCGGCUGGGGUUUUUCCUCCGUCUUGUAGCAGCUGCUGGCUGCUUGCUCCGUCCCCGUCCCUCGCCUGCUGAGCAAGAGGCCCUUGGGCAGCGGGGCGAGCGUGCAGUUGAGACACUCUGCUCUGCCCGUGGAACAAGGCCACCCUCCCGGCAGGGUGUGAGGAGAGGAGCCCUCUCCAUACGCAUCCACGUUAAAGCCCCAUGAAAGAUCAGGCAAGACCCCGCCCUGCUUCUCACCUCCUCAGGGUCCCACGAUCCGUGCAGGGGACACAGUGGGGCAAGUGUGGGGUUGUUUGCCCAUGAGUGGGUGCUGGGGGGGCAGCAGCCCUGGUGACUGGCACCUUGCGUGGCCUGGUGCAUCCUGCCCCACCUGGCCUCUGUUGAACAAGGAACUCCAGAUGGGCUCAGUGGGAGGUGGGGGAGGGAUACAGGGGCAAGGCACUGGGUCAUUCCCCUCUCGCUCAGACUGGUGUCAGUCCGGAGUGACCCUGCUGCCAUCAAUAGAUCGGUGCU